rnacentral:tRNA from 1 species
GUACGUGAGGUGUAAUUGGCAGCACAUCUGGCUUCCACCCAGAAGGUAACGGGUUCGAUCCCCGUCACGUGCUCCA